UCUCCUCUUCCUCCCUUUCCUUUUCUGUAAUUCUUUCUCCAUUGUCUUCUUUCUUCCUCUUUCCUUCUCCAAUUUUUAACAAUCAUCUCUUAAAUAAUUUAAAAUCUUGUGUAUAUAUAUAUAUAUACACGCACACACAUGUAUACAUGGUUGCACUUUUUAUUUGGCUAUGUUUUCCUCUUACUCAUACAUCAAAUAAAAGUCGUAAAAAUUUCAUAUAUUAUUUGUACAAGUACGAGAUCCUUGAAGUUCCAAUGCAAAAGGCAUUUCUUCGUAAAGAGAUGGUGGAGGAACAACAUCAUACACAAAGUAUAACUUCAUAUUCGAUGGUUAAAGGUGUGUUUCUUUCUUCUAGAAUUUUAAUUUUUUAUAUGUCAAAAAAAAUAAUAUAUAAAGUGGAUUUUUUAAAAGUUUAGUUCGAUUUAGUUUAUUUAUCUUUUAUUCAAAACUUUUAAAAUAAUUUAUUUUAAAUUUAAAUUUUGGAUGAAUGACAAUUGCCACUUGUCAUCACUAUCGCGUCAUCGUAAUUCUCCUUAGUCUUCGUUGUCGCUACCAUUGUUACUAUUAUAAUUAUCUUUGUCGUCGUGGUUACUAUUAUUAUCACUAUUGUUAUUGUUAUUGUUGCAAUUGCCUCUACUGUUAUCUUUGUCGUCAGCCAACUAUAUUUUUCGCAUCAUCAUCGACGUUGCCAUCAAGUUAUUGUUAUUAAUAUUGUUAUGAUCAUUGUCUCUAUUGUCAUUGUCACUAUUACUAUUAUUAAUGUAAUUGUCCUCUAUUUUUAUUGUAGCAAUCUCUUACCAGAUACCAUACAGUAACUACCAUCUACUUAAGUGUCAAAUAUUGACACUAUUGUCGUUGUCACCAUCUAUUAUAGCCAACUACACUCACUUACAUCAUCAAUGAAACUGCCAUCAAAUUGUCGCUAAUAUUAUUGUUAUCAUUGUCACUAUCAUUAUUAUUGAUGUAGUUGUUAUUUAUGUCUAUUGUAACUAUCUCUUACCAUGUACCAUACCAUAACCAUCAUCUACUCAAGUGUCAGAUAUUGGCACUACUGUCAGUGUCACCAUCUAUUAUAGCCAACUAUACUCACUCACAUCAUCAUCGAUACUGCCAUCAAGUUAUUGUUGUUAAUCCUGUUGUUAUGAUUAUUACUAUUACCAUUAUUGAUAUUAUUCUUCUCUAUUUAUGGCAAUCCCCCACUAGGUACCAUACCCUAACCACCAUAUAUUCAAGUGCCAAAUAUUGGCACUUAUUUUCAUUGUCACCAUUUAUUACAACUAACUAUACUCGCUCACAUCAUCGUCGACACUACCAUCAAAUUAUUAUUGUUAAUAUUGUUGUUAUUAUUGUCACUAUUAUCAUUGUCACUAUUACUACUAUUGAUGUUGUUGUCAUUUAUUUCUAUUAUAACAAUCUCCCACCAGGUACCAUACCUUAACCACCAUCUACUAAAGUGUCAAACAUUGGCAGUAUUAUCGUUGUCACCAUCUAUUGUAGCCAACUAUACUCAACAACAUCAUCAUUAAUACUGUCUUCAAAUUAUUGUUGCUUAUAUUGUCAUUAUCGUUGUCAUUUUAUCAUCAUUACCAUUAUUGAUGUUGUCAUCUUUUUUUAUUAUAGCAAUCUCCGACCAAGUACCAUACUCUGACCACCAUUAACUCAAGUGUCAAAUAUUGAAUAAAUAAAAAAUAAUGUGUAUAUUACUUAUAUUUUAGGUGUUUGAUAAAGUGAGGAAUAAUUUUUGUAAUCGGGUAUUACUUAUGUAAGACAAUAUGUAGAGACAUAAAAUCAUCUACUUCUAUUAUACCCUUUGGCCUCUCAUCUUUGCUCUAUGACCUAUAGUCUGAUGGAUUUAAUUAGAGAAUAACUGAUUCAAUUAGAGAUGAUCUUGGGCUUAAAAAUGCAUUUAUAGGGAUAAAUGUUUCAAGACGAACUCUCUUUGAUUACUUUGAUUACUUUAUGGGUUAUUAGGAAUAAAAUAGACAUACUGAUGUUAGCUAAGAAAAAAAAAAAUUUUAAGGGAGAAGCAGCCAAGAGGAAAAACUUCUUUCUAAACCAUAUGGCAUUUAAAGAAAGAGAAAAUCAAACAUUAUUCUUUAAAGAACUAAAUCUCACAGUUUAGUAAAGAUAUGGGUGGCUUCUUUACCCCUUUAAUGACCAGCCUUAAUUAACCAUAUUUACUUUUUCUAAUUUCUCUACAAUUAAUUAAAAUCUUCUAAUUUAAAAAGAGAAUAUCAUAUUUAGCAUAUUUUAUUCAAUGUCUUAGUAAAUUUCAGUAUUUUUUUCAUUCCAGAUAAUAUUUAAUUUUUUUAUAAUUUUUACCAUUAAUUUAAGAGAUUUAUUUUUCUUAAAAUAUAUAUGAUCUACUCUAUAAAUAGGUUUUCAAUUUCUAAUUGCAUUCAUUCAAAUUUGAGAAUAAUAAAAUAAUGAGUUUUUAGUUUUCAGCUAGUUAGGUUUCGUCAACUUCUUUUAUUGAGUGUGAAUUGAUUUAACUUAUGAAGGUAAGUUCUUGUGGCGUUUUAUCAAUUUUCUUUUGAAUUGAUUUCUAACUUAUUAAGCUCAUAUUUGUGAUCUUUUUAAUCAAUUCAAACUAUGCCAAUUAAUUUAGUUCAUAACUCCAGAAGAAUUAUUAGAUUGAGUAGCAAGAAUUUGUAGAAAAUUUUUUAUGAUUUUAAAUACUAAUGUUGUAUUCAGAGUUUUUGAUCACGUUAGUUGAUCUUGAGUUCUGCAUCAAUGACCUUUAGAGCAUAGAGUUUUUUGGAUAGAAUCAAUGAUGUUUGACUUCAAAUCACAGGUUUUUAACGAAAUACUUUUGGAUAUUUAUUAAAAACUGUAUCGGUUGGUGUCUUUAUAUAAAAUACUAUUUUAUUAUAGUUUUGUAACUUUAAAAUUCUAUUUUAUUAGUAUUUAGUUUUUCUAGUUGUGAUGAGAGAAGGAGACAACGACGAAAUAACAUAAUAAGAAGAAAGAGAUGAAGAACUAAUGAGAGAAGAAGAACUAAGAAGAAGAAAUAAUGAAAGAAAAGAAAAAGAAGUAAUGAAAGCAGAAGAACAAGAAGAAAUAACAAAAGAAGGAAGUAAGACAAGAAAAAGAAUAUAAAGAAGAAGUAGAAGAAACAAGGGUAGAAAAAGAAGCAAUGAAAGAAUCUCCAAGUCUUCUGAUUGUAUGAUGCAACUAACACUCGAGUGAGUUUAAGACUUUUUAAAUGUUAUGUUU
rnacentral:lncRNA from 1 species